GAUUGGUUAAGGCUCCCAGUAGACGACUGGGUUGAUAGGCCAGAUGUGGAAGCCCGGUAACGGGUGGAGCUGACUGGUACUAAUAGGCCGAGGGCUUGUCCUCAGUUG
rnacentral:rRNA from 1 species